ACAGCGAUGAAUCAUACACCAACCAAUAGUGGUAAACACCAGAGCGUUGCAUGGAAGUUUGGACGCUCCAAGAAAAACAGGGAGAAAAAAAGCCUUCCCUUUGUGUUUGCCCGGAUCACCGCACAGCCGAUGCCAGACCGACCCGACUCAUUCCAGCUCGGUACUCUGCGGUGUCUUAGCCUUCCUCUCCACUCAGUGAACUCUGGCUAUUCAGCUAGACUUGUGUUUAAUUUGGGCCACAACAUGCACGAUACACUUUAGGAGCCAUGAAUCUAGGUUUGUUGCUUUGGUUUGGCCAUCUUUCUCCAUCUCCUCUGCAACGCUUUACAAGACAAAUCAUCCUAGCAAAGUGAAGUGGGUUCUUACGUUGUUUUUGAGAAAGAACAUGCAUCUCCACCCAUGUUUCUGUACAUUCCUGUAAAAAGGCCUGAGCUGCUCUGCCAGAACAUACAACACGCUACGCCUGCUCGUGCUUUUCUGUCCUUUUAAAACCUGGAUGGGAGCCACACCACAGUCAACCAGGCCAGAGUAUUAUCAUGACUUUGAAAAUCUCAAUGUAACCAAAAAAAUGCAUUCAUUCUGGAAAAAUGCAAACAGUUCUGCAGAUUAUUGAGGUGAACUGCUGUUAACCCCUCAUUUGUCAUUACUUCUGAAGAUUCCAUACAUGCAUAUAAAUGAAGGGUCAGCUUUUUGCCAUAGAAAAGGCAGUCUGCAGCAAUAUAACAUACCUACAAAGCAACAUAAGAGUAAAAUAAUCAGUGCCGGUCAGUGCAAUGUGAUACAAGAACCUGGUUUGUAAGCUCAAUUGUGUGAUAAUUGUAGAUUCUUUAGUGCUUGAAAAUCACUUUUUAUGAACAAAGUUUGAUUUGAUACUGUUGCCAUUUUGAAAACAGGCAGAAACAAUCUCCAAAAGUUUCUUUGACAGUACCCGUAAUUUGGAGUUUUAAGCACUGGAUAGACUGGUGGUGUGUCUCUGUGUUGUUUGGCAUAUUGUAAGCUAGCUAUUUUGUAGCAUUUAUGAAGAAAAAAAAAACGCUUCUUUUUCUAUGGACUCAACCAUGCAGGCAAGUUUUCAUAAAGUGUCUCCUUUAUUGCACAUCUUGAAACAUCCAAUAACAUUUUUCUAGUAGACAUGUUUGUCACAAAGGUUUGGUUUCAACAGAACUUCUUGAUCAAAACUUGUAUUCUCUGUUCCUAGGAUAUCAUUUUAUAUCCCUUUCCUGUUUUCUACAGUUCUGUCACCUUUUCCCGUAGAUUUUUGGACAGCUCUUUAGCUCUCCCCAUGACUCAGGAUCCAGAAAUGUCAGUGCAGCACUAGAUGGAGGAUGUACGAGUCUUUUGGGAGCCCCUAAGACCUUUACUCCACACACUGAUGGGUCACAGGCCGGUUGCUGGAUGCCCGCGGUCCAGUCGCUGCUCAUCUGCAACUAUCAAGGUGAGGGGUCCUUCUCCUCGGGCUGGGACGCCGUUUCCGACUCGCCGCCGUCUUUUGCAUCAGACGGCCAGAACGACAACAACAACAGGCGGAGCGUCUUUCCGAGACACGUGAGGCAUGUGAGGCAGCACAGACCAGAGCUUCCUGUCUUCCAGUAAGGAUCGCCAUGUGACCUGGCGAGCAGGAAACCAUGUGAUGCAGCGUUCCAGACCACCAGAGCUAAAGCUGCCCACCGAAAUCGAAAGAAGCUGCCGUAUUUUGUUUCCUUUUGAUGAAGCAGCACCUCUGAUUGCUUAAUGUUCCACAUUACAGAGGUCGGUGAUGGAGGCCCGCGUCAUCGGGUGAAUUCAGGAUCUUUUCCUGAAGCAGGAAGGAGAAUUCAGUCCUUCAGAUCUGCAGCGGAGUUACAGUGAUUCUGCGUUUGAAGUCGGAGCCAAAAAAGUCUCAGUGAAAGCUCCGCCGUCCUUUGAAGUUGCUCAUCGCGCAGGCACAGUUGAGGACUCGUGCACCGCUCUGACAGCGGCGGCGUGUCACGGCGGCUUGAAAGCUGAUCAUCUGACGGGACGGGAAUGAAGAUUCCUCCUUUAAACGUGCCCUUUCUGCAGCCGCCAGCGAUCCUUCGCAGUACACCGAAAUGGAGUUUGUUUAGCGGCGUGGAGCCGCAGCAGCAGACAUGCUAAGCACACACCUGUGCGCACACAGCACCGGUUGCUAUGGGAGAAGCAGGAGUCACAGUUUCCACUGUGAGUCAUGAGCGACCUCCUGCCAUCCUCAACCUAAAUCAGGGUGGCGAUGAGCCACAACAGAACUUCCUGUUUGUUUGUUUUUAUGGGUUAACGUGUAAACAACAUAAAAAAAAAGUUGUUUGA